ACGUCCCACUCGUCCGCUGCGUCUGUGAGUGCGCCGGCUGCGCUCACCUGACGACUACUCGCUACGCUUUGUUACUC
rnacentral:sRNA from 1 species